AGACACUGAAUCGCUGGUGCCUUGAUGUUGGACAUCUCAGCUUCUAGAACUGAAUUGGGCUGUCUCUCUCUCUUUCUCUGGUUGCAUUUCACCAGCUAAGGAGUUGCAUUGGCUUCUGCUCUCCUCUCUUGCUCACCUACAUUGUGAGCCUCUGUUCAGAUGUCACAUUCUGCAUACAAUGGCACCUCCUAACAGAAGAAAUGAUGGCAUGGGCAUGCAAUCUGCAAAAUCCAUACCACAGGAUAUUCUAGGGGACAAAUGACCUGGCCAUUUCAACAAAAACCUGCAAGAAACAAAAACGAAGAAAGGAAAUGGGCACUGCCCACAUGAGUAGUAUUCCACUGUAUUCCACAUGAGGCUCUUAUGACCGACUUCAGCAGAAGGUCAGAGGAUUCUAUGAUGUUUGAUGGUGUGCUUCAGGGGAGAAGGGUUGGGGUCAAAGAGACCUUCCCGCUUCUGCUGGUUUUCUCAGAUGCCAAGAUGCUCUAUUUUGGGGUAACAUGUCCUAAACCCUAUCACCUGCCUAAUGUUACUUAUUAGCUCUCAUUUCCCCUGACACUUUCCCUUUUUGUUUUCUUGAGUAGAAGCUUCAUAAAGGCAAGACCUUCAUCUUACUCACAGCAGUUGAUUCUAUCACCUUGUAUGGCCCCUGACACAUAGAAGGUGCUCAAUAAAUUUUGUUGAAUGG
ensembl:lncRNA LINC00877 long intergenic non-protein coding RNA 877